GGACUACUGGGGUAUCUAAUCCUUUUCGUUAUCUGUGCCUUCGUCCUUUAACGUCAGUUUUUACAUAGGAGGUUGCCUUCGCUUUCAUCAGUCCCUAUGGUCUCAACAAAUAUUAACUCUCCACCACAAGUACGACCUCCUUACAUAAAACUCUAGUAGCUAUGUUCUCUUAUCUCAAGUCAUCUUCUACCGUCUAAGUACCCUUUAAACCUAUUUAAGAUGAAUAACACUAGGCUCUUACGUAUUACCGCGGCGGCUGGCAC
rnacentral:rRNA from 1 species